GACGUAGGGCGCGAGCGUUGUCCGGAUUUAUUGGGCGUAAAGAGCUCGUAGGCGGCUUGUCGCGUCGUUCGUGAAAACUCGAGGCUCAACCUCGAGACGUCGGCGGAAACCAUCUGGCUAGAGUCCGGAAGAGGAGAGUGGAAUUCCUGGUGUAGCGGUGAAAUGCGCAGAUAUCAGGAAGAACACCCGUGGCGAAGGCGGCUCUCUGGAACGCAACUGACGCUGAGACGCGAAAGCGUGGGGAGCAAACAGG
rnacentral:rRNA from 1 species